rnacentral:rRNA from 1 species
AACGAACGCUGGCGGCAGGCUUAACACAUGCAAGUCGAACGCAUCGCAAGGUGAGUGGCAGACGGGUGAGUAACGCGUGGGAACAUACCCUUUUCUACGGAAUAGCUCUGGGAAACUGGAAUUAAUACCGUAUACGCCCUACGGGGGAAAGAUUUAUCGGGGAAGGAUUGGCCCGCGUUGGAUUAGCUAGUUGGUGGGGUAAAGGCCUACCAAGGCGACGAUCCAUAGCUGGUCUGAGAGGAUGAUCAGCCACAUUGGGACUGAGACACGGCCCAAACUCCUACGGGAGGCAGCAGUGGGGAAUAUUGGACAAUGGGCGCAAGCCUGAUCCAGCCAUGCCGCGUGAGUGAUGAAGGCCCUAGGGUUGUAAAGCUCUUUCACCGGUGAAGAUACUGACGGUAACCGGAGAAGAAGCCCCGGCUAACUUCGUGCCAGCCGCCGCCGUAAAAC